AAGUCGUAACAAGGUUUCCGUAGGUGAACCUGCGGAAGGAUCAUUAUACGUUUCCAACGUACCAACCAUGUGAACUCGUUUUCGAGUGUCUGUGAUCGGAUUUGAGGGCGUCAAAGUAUGGUGGGCAGAUUUACUUCUGCUGUUUGACGCUCUGCAUCGCCCGUUUAUUCGGGCGUGACAAUUCGUGUCGCAGCUACCAUUUCUUUUAUUUACUUUUUAAACGCAUUGUACCACUUCGUACUAACAUUUUGUGAAGUCGAGGCGCUCGCGCCUUGAUGAACUAAAGACAUUUAAUUGCUGAACAACUCUUAGCAACGGAUAUCUUGGUUCUC
rnacentral:misc_RNA from 1 species